UACGUAGGGUGCGAGCGUUUAAUCGGAAUUACUGGGCGUAAAGCGUGCGCAGGCGGUUAUUUAAGUCAGGUGUGAAAGCCCUGGGCUUAACCUAGGAAUUGCGCUUGAGACUGGAUAGCUUGGAGUGCGGGCAGAGGGAGGUGGAAUUCCACGUGUAGCAGUGAAAUGCGUAGAGAUGUGGAGGAACACCGGAUGGCGAAGGCAGCCUCCUGGGCCAGCACUGACGCUCGAUGCACGAAAGCGUGGGGAGCGAACAGG
rnacentral:rRNA from 1 species